rnacentral:lncRNA from 1 species
GUGACACCUUUGAAAGACUGCACUCAGCUUUAUCCAUCAAUGUUUCUCUCCCAGGUUUGAUGCUUUGCAGGUGCUCUGUGUGCACCCUCACUGCAUCCAGCGGGGUGACCAUGCUCCACAUCUCCCAGGGUCACUUUUCCCUCCAAAGGAAAGGCCUCUCAGGAGCAGCAGAUAGAAAACUAGCCCUGGGAACUCUGCAUUUUUUGGAGGAAACCUGCACAAUAUGCUUUUCAAGCCUGCUGUUCCAGAAGAGCAACUCAACACGUGCUGAACUUUGAUCCCGUGAGUGCUGGUGUUAAUAAGUUACAAACUGACCUGAAUGCUCUGCAGGAGCCAAAGGUAGCCCGGGGGAAGUUCUCUGCUUUUCAGUAAGAGGCACCUUGUUACACCUCAUCCCAAUCCCAUGAGCUUCAUUAACUCAGGCAGCCCCUCCAAGCUUGGAUUUCACAAGGGCUCUUGU